rnacentral:rRNA from 1 species
UUGACUCAACGCGGGAAAUCUUACCGGGUCCGGACAUAUCGAGGAUUGACAGACAGUUACCAUGCCCUUUCGAAAGGAGUCAGGUUUUAAACCUAAUGGCUCUUUCAUGAUUAUAUGAUAGGUGGUGCAUGGCCGUUCUUAGUUCGUGGAGUGAUCUGUCUGCUUAAUUGCGUUUCAAAUUUUUAUUUGAGGACCAGGUUUUGGUUUGGGUAGUGGUCCUACGAUGACUGUGAACUGUCAUGUCUUCGGAUGUGCGACUAUCGGUCUAGGAUCGCAUCUCAGCCCCUGGGACUCUUUUGAACGCAACGGACGUGAUUGCAACCCCUUGUUGAGAUUAGAGGAGUCUCGAUAUUCAUUGGCCAAACUUACCGCUUCGAGCUUGCUCGUGCAGUUUUGUUAGCCGGUGGAUAAACUCGGGGGACUGCUGACUAUAACCAUUUCUCAAAACAGAGGAAGGUGCG